rnacentral:rRNA from 1 species
UGGGGAAUAUUGCACAAUGGGCGCAAGCCUGAUGCAGCCAUGCCGCGUGUAUGAAGAAGGCCUUCGGGUUGUAAAGUACUUUCAGCGGGGAGGAAGGCGAUAAGGUUAAUAACCUUGUCGAUUGACGUUACCCGCAGAAGAAGCACCGGCUAACUCCGUGCCAGCAGCCGCGGUAAUACGGAGGGUGCAAGCGUUAAUCGGAUUUACUGGGCGUAAAGCGCACGCAGGCGGUCUGUCAAGUCGGAUGUGAAAUCCCCGGGCUCAACCUGGGAACUGCAUUCGAAACUGGCAGGCUAGAGUCUUGUAGAGGGGGGUAGAAUUCCAGGUGUAGCGGUGAAAUGCGUAGAGAUCUGGAGGAAUACCGGUGGCGAAGGCGGCCCCCUGGACAAAGACUGACGCUCAGGUGCGAAAGCGUGGGGAGCAAACA